GUUGUUCGGAACUACUGGGCGUAAAGCGCACGUAGGCGGCGCAGCAAGUCAGGGGUGAAAUCCCGGGGCUCAACCCCGGAACUGCCCUUGAAACUGCAGUGCUAGAAUUCUGGAGAGGCGAGUGGAAUUCCGAGUGUAGAGGUGAAAUUCGUAGAUAUUCGGAAGAACACCAGUGGCGAAGGCGACUCGCUGGACAGACAUUGACGCUGAGGUGCGAAAGCGUGGGGAGCGAACAGG
rnacentral:rRNA from 1 species